GAGCUAUUGGACCUUAGAAGGCAACGGAAUCAAGUAUACUUUCAGAAAAUUCAGGCUGAAAUGGCCAUUUUGGGUUUUCACUGGACGUGGCAGCAGCUCCGAACACACUGGAAUAACUUGAAGGGGCGAUAUAACAAGGUAAGGUGUCGUGUUAUUUGUUUUCUGCGUCCGAUAAUGUUUUCUAGCUUGCGAGUUUCAAGAAUGCUUUCACAUGGCAGGAAAGAGUGGAGCAAAACCGCAGUGGCGCGGCACCGUCGAGCUGGCUCUGGUACGCCGAGAUGAGUGCGAUUCUGUCUCACCGCCCGAUGACAGAAGCUCAGGCGUACGGCAUUGACAGCCAUGUGGACACCGAAGGUGACGACAGUCGGACAGAUUUAAGCGAGGACGAGGAGCUACAGGCGAAUGAAAGUACCCCGGGAUCCUCAAGCGGAAGCAACACUCCUGUGCCACGGGCAAAGAGGCCACGACGGACGAGGAAUUCGGAGCUCGCUGAGAUCUUAGCAGAACA